UAGAGUAAGAGUGAACGUGUAUUCUUUAUUAGAAUAUUGAAAUAUCAAUUUUGAUCAAUUCAUUUCCCCUUCCUCUCCCAUUGGUUUUCUAUCCUCUCCAUCUUUUUAUCUUUAUCCCAAGAAUUCAUCCCCUUUUUUCCAUGGAUCUUGAAGCUUGUUGGUGGUUGAAGUCUUUUCAUGUCUAUUUUAUCCUUAUCUUCAUAAUAGUUUCAGUCUUCUCUCUUUUUUUCUAUAUAGUGAAGCUAAAACUUUGGUGCAACUGUGAAAUUUGCCAUGCUUAUGUCACAACAAGUUGGUCUUCACAAUUCACCAAUUUGUGUGAUUGGUACACUCACCUUCUUCAAAAUUCACCUACAAGAACCAUUCAUAUUCAUGUUCUUGGUAAUACCAUCACUGCGAAUCCUGAAAACGUCGAGUAUAUGCUUAAAACAAGAUUUGAUAAUUACCCAAAAGGGAAAACUUUCUCUACUAUCUUAGGUGAUUUUCUUGGUCGUGGUAUAUUCAACGUUGAUGGCGAUUUAUGGCGAUUUCAAAGGAGAAUGUCAAGUCUUGAACUUGGAAAAGUCUCCAUACGUUCAUAUGCAUUUGAAGUGGUAAAUAAUGAGAUUCAAAAGAGGCUUCUUCCACUUUUAGCUAAUAAAGAAGGUGUGGUUUUGGAUUUUCAAGAUGUUUUUAGAAGAUUUUCAUUUGAUAAUAUUUGUAGAUUUUCCUUUGGGUUGGACCCUAAAUGUUUAGAAUCUUCACUACCCAUCUCAGAAUUUGCAGUUUCCCUUGACCUAGCAUCAAAAUUAUCAGCUGAAAGAGCCAUGACUACAUCACCUAUUGUUUGGAAAAUCAAAAGAUUUUUAAACAUAGGGAGCGAAAGGAAGUUGAAGAAAGCAAUCAAAUUGAUCAAUAUACUAGCACAAGAAGUCAUAAGGCAAAAGAGAAAAUUAGGUUUUUCAAAUCAUAGGGAUCUUCUUUCAAGAUUCAUGGGAACAAUAAGUGAUGAAACUUAUUUAAGAGAUAUUGUCAUAAGUUUUCUCUUAGCUGGUCGAGAUACUAUUGCUUCUGCCUUAAUAAGUUUCUUUUAUGUAAUUGCAAAUCAUCCACAAGUGGCUAAAUCCAUUAGAGAAGAAGCUGAUAGAGUUCUUGGUCCAAAUAAAGAUCUCAAAAGUUGUGAACAAAUGAGUGAGCUUCAUUAUCUACAAGCUUCCAUUUAUGAAAGUAUGAGACUUUACCCUCCUAUCCAAUUUGAUUCAAAGUUUUGUUUAGAAGAUGAUAUUUUACCUGAUGGGACUUUUGUGAAGAAAGGAACAAGGGUUACGUAUCAUCCUUAUGCAAUGGGAAGAAUGGAAGAAUUAUGGGGUUGUGAUUCUUUGGAGUUUAAGCCUGAAAGAUGGUUGAAAGAUGGAAUUUUUUUUCAAGAAAAUCCAUUCAAGUAUCCAGUUUUUCAAGCUGGACUUAGGGUCUGUUUGGGGAAAGAAAUGGCACUUGUUGAGAUUAAAAGUGUGGCUCUUUCGUUGCUAAGGCGAUUUAAUGUCGAAUUAGCCCAACCAUAUCACACGCCACGCUUCUCUCCUGGACUUACUGCGUCUUUCAGGGGUGGCUUGAUGGUUUCAGUGCGAGAAAUAAGUCCAUAUAGUCAUCAAAGAUGAAUUCAGAAUGGUUGUGAUCGAUUAUAUAUAUACAGUAAGUCCUUUUUUUCUAUAUGUAUAUAUAUGGUUCGAGUAAAAAAUAGUGGAUUCAAUUGAACCUGCUAUACUCGCUCUAGAUUUGACUACGUGAAUAGUUGAUUGUAUAUCAUGGUAACUUACUGUAUGUGGUGUAGCAUCCUCAAGCAACCCUAAUCUUGGAAGGCCAAUGUUAGCAGUUUUUUGUGGUAUAUACAUAUAUUGAACCAUUCAAGGAGAGGACAUGGAUCGAAACUUCAAGUCAAGUAAAACGUUUUUGACCCUCUCUUUUGGCCAAGCUUUCUUUAUGUAUGGUAAUAUUCGAAUAUUUGCGUUGAAGUGGUUCUCUUUUUAAUCUAUUUUUUCCAAGAUUGUACAAACGAUCUAGCUAUGUAGAAGAAGCUGCAGGCUUUGAUGUAUGGACUCCUUUAGCUCACUUGUUCACACAAGUUGUGCAAUUUAUGUCGCUGAUUGAAGAUUUUGUAUAUAUGAAUGAACUACUACUCCA